rnacentral:lncRNA from 1 species
AAUAAAUGAGGAACGAUCAUGGCGGGGCGGUGACUAUGGUUCUUUAGGUCGUAUUUGAUGGCCCGGAAAAUUUUAGGCGAUCGGGGUCGACGGCUCCCGGGACCACUCGGAAGGCGUAAGCUAUUGCACACGAAAAUAUGCAAAUCGCGCGGAGUUCUAGCUUUUUGGCCGAAAAAUUCAAAGCAUUUGGAACGAUCAUGGUGGGGCGGGGACUAUGGUACCUUAGGUCGUAUUUGAUAGUCCGGAAAAAUUUUAGGCGAUCGGGGUCCGCGGCUCCCCGGACCACUUGGACGGCGUGGUAUAGCACACGAAAAUAUGGGAAUCGGGCGUAAUUCUAGUUUUUUGGCCGAAAAAUGCAAAAAAUGAGAAACGAUGAUGGCGGGCGGUUACUAUGGUUCCUUAGGUCGUAUUUGACGAUCUGAAAAUAUUUUAGGCGAUCGGGGUCCGGGGGUCCCGGAACCACUUGGAAGGGUGGGCAAUAGCACACUAAAAUAUUGUAAUCGGGCGGAAUUCUAGUUUUUUCGCCGAAAAAUGCAACAAAUGAGGAA